rnacentral:rRNA from 1 species
AACGAACGCUGGCGGCAUUCCUAACACAUGCACGUCGAACGAGACCUUCGGGUCUAGUGGCGCACGUGUGCGUAACGCGUGGGAAUCUGCCCUUCGGUUGGGAAUAACUGAGAGAAAUUUCAGCUAAUACCUUAUAAUGUCUUCGUCCCAAAGUUUUAUCGCCGAUUGAUGAGCCGGUGUAGGAUUAGCUUGUUGGUGUGGUAAUGGCCUACCACGCCGACGUUCCUUAGCUGGUCUGCGAGGAUGAUCAGCCACGCUGGGACUGGGACACGGCACAGACCUCUAGGGGAGGAAGCAGAGGGGUAAUAUGGACAAUGGGCGUAAUCCUGACACAGCAAAGCCGGGUGAGAAAUGAAGCCCUAAGGGUUGUAAUGCUGUUUAAUUCGAGAUGUAAAUGAAAGUAUCGAGAGAAUAAGCGCCGGCUAACUGUGUGG